GAAACAACAUUUGAGACUGAGGUUAAGCGAUUGAAUGUGAUAUCUGAUGCCACACUGGGAGAGGCCGGGAAAACUGGAACAAAUCUUCAAAGCUCAGUCCUUCAGGUUGGAAGGAAUGUCUUUAUUUGGAGGCAUGUCGGCUCAUUUUUCUCACUUCAGAUCAUCAUUAUGACUUCUUGAGGCCUGAUCUAAUUUUGAAGUAACCAGGAACUUGUCCAUCAUAGAGCAGCAAAUCCUUCAACUUUGGAGCACAAAAGAUCACUGAUAUGGUCUGCAUAAAAUCAUCUGCCUCUAGUUUGACAGCCAUGAGCAGAGCCCUGGGGGCCAAAAAAAAAAAAAAAAAAA